CUACGGGUCGCUCCAGUGGGGAAUAUUGCACAAUGGAAGAAACUCUGAUGCAGCAACGCCGCGUGGAGGAUGACACUUUUCGGAGCGUAAACUCCUUUUAUAUAGGAAGAAGAUGACGCUACUAUAUGAAUAAGCGCCGGCUAACUCCGUGCCAGCAGCCGCGGUAAUACGGAGGGCGCAAGCGUUACUCGGAAUCACUGGGCGUAAAGAGCGUGUAGGCGGAUUAAAAAGUCAGAAGUGAAAUCCUAUAGCUUAACUAUAGAACUGCUUCUGAAACUCUUAAUCUAGAAUAUGGGAGAGGUAGAUGGAAUUUCUGGUGUAGGGGUAAAAUCCGUAGAGAUCAGAAGGAAUACCGAUUGCGAAGGCGAUCUACUAGAACAUUAUUGACGCUGAGACGCGAAAGCGUGGGGAGCAAACAGGAUUAGAUACCCGCGUAGUC
rnacentral:rRNA from 1 species